GACGGCUUGGUUUUGCUUCCCAGGAACCCGGUCACUUUGGGGGUGUCCUUGACAAGGUGCCAUGCCUCGUCCGUCA
rnacentral:tRNA from 1 species